rnacentral:rRNA from 1 species
GAUGAACGCUGGCGGCGUGCCUAAUACAUGCAAGUCGAGCGAACAGACGAGGAGCUUGCUCCUCUGACGUUAGCGGCGGACGUGUGAGUAACACGUGGAUAACCUACCUAUAAGACUGGGAUAACUUCGGGAAACCGGAGCUAAUACCGGAUAAUAUAUUGAACCGCAUGGUUCAAUAGUGAAAGACGGUUUUGCUGUCACUUAUAGAUGGAUCCGCGCCGCAUUAGCUAGUUGGUAAGGUAACGGCUUACCAAGGCAACGAUGCGUAGCCGACCUGAGAGGGUGAUCGCCCACACUGGAACUGAGACACGGUCCAGACUCCUACGGGAGGCAGCAGUAGGGAAUCUUCCGCAAUGGGCGAAAGCCUGACGGAGCAACGCCGCGUGAGUGAUGAAGGUCUUCGGAUCGUAAAACUCUGUUAUUAGGGAAGAACAAAUGUGUAAGUAACUAUGCACGUCUUGACGGUACCUAAUCAGAAAGCCACGGCUAACUACGUG